rnacentral:rRNA from 1 species
UGGGGAAUAUUGCACAAUGGGCGCAAGCCUGAUGCAGCCAUGCCGCGUGUAUGAAGAAGGCCUUCGGGUUGUAAAGUACUUUCAGUCGGGAGGAAGGUGGUAAGGUUAAUAACCUUAUCAAUUGACGUUACCGAUAGAAGAAGCACCGGCUAACUCCGUGCCAGCAGCCGCGGUAAUACGGAGGGUGCAAGCGUUAAUCGGAAUUACUGGGCGUAAAGCGCACGCAGGCGGUUGAUUGAGUCAGAUGUGAAAUCCCCGGGCUUAACCCGGGAAUUGCAUCUGAUACUGGUCAGCUAGAGUCUUGUAGAGGGGGGUAGAAUUCCAUGUGUAGCGGUGAAAUGCGUAGAGAUGUGGAGGAAUACCGGUGGCGAAGGCGGCCCCCUGGACAAAGACUGACGCUCAGGUGCGAAAGCGUGGGGAGCAAACAGG